rnacentral:snRNA from 1 species
GAAUGUGAAGGUGACUUGUGACGCGUCACCCAUGGGUCACCAGUGGGGAUUUGGCUGAUGGAGCUGACAAAACCAGAGUUUCCUUCCUCCCUCAAGUCUCCAUCUCUGUCCCUCUAGAAGUUUGGUGGGUCAAAGAAAAUGACCUCUGCCAUUAGAGGUCAAGGGUGAGUGAGCAGGUGAGCUUCCCUUCCAGAAAUUUCCAAACAAGCUCAGACAGGCCUUGGGAUCAGGGAAGUAUAGAUCAGGAAUGUCAGCUGCUCACAGUAUCCUAGAUAUUUGC